UAAGAGGUUACAUGUUAAUAACUCAAUCAAUUCUUCGAAAAUAUAUUCUAUUACCUGCAUUGAUAAUAGCCAAAAAUAUCGGGCGUAUGUUAUUCUUGCAACUUCCUGAAUGGUCUGAAGAUUUACAGGAAUGGAAUAGAGAAAUGCAGAUUAAAUGUACUUAUAAUGGUGUUCAAUUAUCAGAAACAGAAUUUCCCAAAAAUUGGUUAAGAGACGGGAUUCAGAUCAAAAUUUUAUUUCCUUUUUGUCUGAAACCUUGGCAUAUAUCUAAACUGUACCCCUCCCGCAGAGAGCUAAUGAAAAAGCAAAAACAAAAAGAUGAUUUUUGUUUUUUAACAGUUUGGGGAAUGGAAGCUGAACUUCCCUUUGGUUCUCCCCGAAAGCGACCUUCAUUUUUUGAGCCCAUUUUUAAGGAACUCGAAAAAAAAAUUGGAAAAUUCAAAAAGAAAUAUUUUCUAACUCUAAAAAUUUUAAAAGGAAAAACAAAAUUAUUUAGAAGAGUUUCAAAAGAAACCACAAAAUUGUUUAUCAAAAGUAUUGGAUUUCUAAAAAAAAUAAAAAAAGAACUUUCAAAAGUAAAUCUAAUUGUAUUAUUUAGAUUCAAAGAAAUAUCUGAAUCCAAUGAAACAAAAAAAGAAAAAGAUUAUCUAAUUAGUAAUCAAAUAAUUAACGAAUCAUUUCGUCAAAUUGAAUCUGGAAAUUGGCCAAAUUCUUCACUGAUAGAAACAAAAAUGAAGGAUUUGACUGAUAGAACAAGUACAAUCAAAAAUAAAAUAGAAAGAAUUACAAAAGAGAAAAAGAAAGUAACUCCAGAAAUAGACAUUAAUCCUAAUAAAACAAAUAAUAUUAAAAAAUUCGAAUCGCCAAAAAAAAUUUUCCAAAUAUUAAAAAGCAGAAAUACUCGAGUAAUAUGGAAAUUCCAUUAUUUUCUAAAAUUAUUCAUUCAAAGAUUAUACAUCAAUUUAUUUUUAUCUAUCAUUAAUAUUCCUAGAAUUACUACACAACUCUUUCUUAAAUCAACAAACAAAUUGAUUGAGAAAUUCAUCUCCAAUAAUGAAAUAAAUCAAGAAAAAAUUAAUAAUAAAAAAAAAAUUCACUUUAUGUUUAUUUCGACUAUAAAAAAGUCACUUUAUAAUAUUAGUAAGAAAAAUUCACAUAUUUUGUGUGAUUUAUCCUACUUGUCACAAGCAUAUGUAUUUUACAAAUUAUCACAAACCCAAGUUAUUAAUUUUUCUAAAUUUAGAUCUGUUCUUCAAUAUAACACAACGUCUUGUUUCCUUAAGACUAAAAUAAAGGACUAUUUUAAAACACUAGGAAUAUUUCAUUCGGAAUUAAAAGAUAAGAAACUUCAGAGUUAUAGAAUAAAUCAAUGGAAAAACUGGUUAAGAUGGCAUUAUCAAUACGAUUUAUCUCAGAUUAGAUGGUCUAGAUUAAUGCCAAAAAAAUGGCGAACUAGGGUUAAUCAAAGUUGUAUGGCUCAAAAUAAAAAUAGAAACUUAAACAAAUGGAAUUCAUAUGAAAAAGACCAAUUACUUCAUUACAAAAAAGAAAAUGAUUCGGAACUCUAUUCAUUAUCAAACGAAAAAGAUAAUUUUAAAAAAUGUUAUGGAUAUGGUCUUUUAGCAUAUAAAUCGAUUAAUUAUGAAAAUAAAAGUGACUCAUUUUUUUCUAGAUUACCCUUUGAAGUUCAAGUAAAGAAGAACUUAGAAAUUUCGUAUAAUUCCAACACGUCCAAACACAACUUUGUUGAUAUGCCCGGCAAUCUUCAUAUCAAUAAUUAUCUAAGAAAGGGCAAUAUUCUAGAUAGAGAAAGAAAUCUCGAUAGAAAAUAUUUUGAUUGGAAAAUUAUCCAUUUUUCUCUUAGACAAAAAGGAGAUAUUGAAGCCUGGGUUAAGAUCGAUACCAACAGUAAUCCAAAUACUAAAAUUGGUAUUAAUAAUUAUCAAAUAAUUGAUAAAAUUGAGAAAAAGGGGGUUUUUUAUCUUACAACUCAUCAACAUCCAGAAAAAACUCAAAAAAAUUCGAAAAAAGUCUUUUUUGAUUGGAUGGGAAUGAAUGAAAAAAUAUUUAAUCGUCCCAUAUUGAAUCUGGAAUUUUGGUUCUUCCCAGAAUUUGUACUACUUUAUAAUGUCUAUAAAAUAAAACCGUGGAUUAUACCAAGCAAAUUCCUUCUUUUUAAUUUGAAUACAAAUAAAAAUGUUAGUCAAAAUAAAAACCAAAACUUUUUUCUACCAUCAAAUAAAAAAAUAAAAAUAAAGAAUCGAAGUCAAGAAGCAAAAGAACCCCCAAGUCAAAGAGAGCGUGGAUCAGAUAUAGAAAACAAAGGAAAUCUGAGCCCUGUUUUUUCAAAACAUCAAACCGAUCUUGAAAAAGAUUACGUGGAAUCAGACACAAAAAAGGGUAAAAAUAAAAAACAAUACAAAAGCAACACGGAAGCAGAACUAGAUUUGUUCUUGAAACGUUAUUUGCUUUUUCAAUUGAGAUGGAACGGUGCUUUGAAUCAAAGAAUGUUCGAAAAUAUCAAGGUAUAUUGUCUCCUGCUUCGACUGAUAAAUCCAACCAAAAUUACUAUAUCGUCAAUUCAAAGGAGAGAAAUGAGUUUGGAUAUAAUGCUGAUUCAGGCAAAUUUACCUCUUACAGACUUGAUGAAGAAGGGGGUAUUGAUUAUCGAACCUAUUCGGUUGUCUGUAAAAGAUAAUGGACAAUUUAUUAUGUAUCAAACCAUAGGUAUUUCAUUGGUUCAUAAAAGUAAACACCAAACUAAUCAAAGAUACCGAGAACAAAGAUAUGUUGAUAAAAAGAAUUUUGACGAAUUCAUUCUGCAACCUCAAACUCAAAGAAUAAAUACAGAAAAAACUCAUUUUGGUUUGCUUGUUCCUGAAAAUAUUUUAUGGUCUAGACGUCGUAGAGAGUUGAGAAUUCGAAGUUUUUUUAAUUCUUGGAAUUGGAAUGUCGUCGAUAGAAAUUCAGUAUUUUGCAACGAAACCAAUGUAAAAAACUGGAGUCAAUUUUUGGGUGAACGGAAACCCCUUUAUAAAGAUAAAAAUGAAUUAAUUAAAUUUAAGUUCUUUUUUUGGCCUAAUUAUCGAUUAGAAGAUUUAGCUUGUAUGAAUCGUUAUUGGUUUGAUACCAAUAAUGGUAGCCGUUUCAGUAUCUUAAGGAUACAUAUGUAUCCACGAUUGAAAAUUAAUUGAUAGUACUAUAUACCCUGUCUCGUAUAGAGUAUCUGAAAGCAAAUAAAUGCAAACAUGCCUUGUUUUACAUCUCAUUCGAAUCUAAUUCGAGUAGACAAUACUAAAUCAAUAAAAUAAGGUAUUGAUUAGAUCUAGAAAUGAAUCAACAGAAUCUUCUUCAUUUUAGGAUUUUAGGUUUCAAUUAUUCGCUUUUGUGAUUAAAAAAAACGUACCUACCGUCUUUUUGGAUUCCUAUCUGAAUCAAAUUUGAAAUUUGAUUAAUUUAUUGGAAUUGCUAAAAUUAGAGGUUCAUAAAGAAAUUAAGUCUAUAUACCACGUUUAAAUUACUGGCAUUAUUAUUACUGAUCAAUAAAAUUCGAAAAAAUCCAUAUCUGUAAAAUAAAGAAAGGGGAAAUUCAUUUAUGGUAAAAAAUUCUGUCAUUUCAGUUAUUUCUCAAGAAGAAAAGAAAGGAUCUGUUGAAUUUCAAGUAUUCAAUUUCACCAAUAAGAUACGAAGACUUACUUCACAUUUAGAAUUGCACAAAAAAGACUAUUUAUCUCAGAGAGGUUUGAAGAAAAUUUUGGGAAAACGUCAACGACUGCUAGCUUAUUUGGCAAAAAAAAAUAGAGUACGUUAUAAAGAAUUAAUUAAUCGGUUGGACAUUCGAGAGACAAAAACUCGUUAAUUUGAUUAAUUUGAAGAGUUAUUUCAUUUUCACUUAUAUGUUUCGAUUAAAUUUUGAUGAACUUCUUUUCACUUUCAGUAAUUCAUGGAAGAAUGAAUCGUUAAAAAACUUAUGACUGCACCAACUACAAGAAAAGACCUCAUGAUAGUCAAUAUGGGGCCUCAGCACCCAUCAAUGCACGGUGUUCUUCGACUCAUCGUUACUCUAGAUGGUGAAGAUGUUGUCGACUGCGAACCAAUAUUGGGUUAUUUACAUAGAGGGAUGGAGAAAAUUGCGGAAAACCGAACAAUUAUACAAUAUUUGCCUUAUGUAACACGUUGGGAUUAUUUAGCUACUAUGUUCACAGAAGCAAUAACCAUAAAUGGACCCGAACAAUUAGGCAAUAUUCAAGUACCUAAAAGGGCUAGCUAUAUCAGAGUCAUUAUGUUGGAGUUGAGUCGGAUAGCUUCUCAUUUGUUAUGGCUCGGUCCUUUUAUGGCGGAUAUUGGUGCACAGACCCCUUUCUUCUAUAUUUUUAGAGAAAGAGAAUUGAUAUAUGACCUAUUCGAAGCUGCCACCGGUAUGCGAAUGAUGCAUAAUUAUUUUAGGAUUGGAGGAGUGGCUGCCGAUCUACCCUAUGGCUGGAUAGAUAAAUGUUUGGAUUUUUGCGAUUAUUUUUUAACAGGGGUUGCUGAGUAUCAAAAACUUAUUACUCGGAAUCCUAUUUUUUUAGAACGAGUUGAAGGCGUAGGCAUUAUUGGGAGAGACGAGGCAUUAAAUUGGGGUUUAUCGGGACCAAUGCUACGAGCUUCCGGAAUAGAAUGGGAUCUUCGUAAAGUUGAUCAUUAUGAGUCUUACGACGAAUUUGAUUGGCAGGUUCAAUGGCAACGAGAAGGGGAUUCAUUAGCUCGUUAUUUAGUACGAAUCGGUGAAAUGACAGAAUCCAUAAAGAUUAUUCAACAGGCUCUGGAAGGAAUUCCAGGGGGGCCUUACGAAAAUUUAGAAAUGCGACGUUUUGACAGAUUAAAAGAUCCUGAAUGGAAUGAUUUUGAAUAUCGGUUUAUUAGUAAAAAGCCUUCUCCAACUUUUGAAUUGUCGAAACAAGAACUUUAUGUGAGAGUUGAAGCCCCAAAAGGAGAAUUGGGGAUUUUUCUGAUAGGAGAUCAGAGCGUUUUUCCUUGGAGAUGGAAAAUUCGCCCACCAGGUUUUAUCAAUUUGCAAAUUCUUCCUCAGUUAGUUAAAAGAAUGAAAUUGGCUGAUAUUAUGACAAUACUAGGUAGCAUAGAUAUCAUUAUGGGAGAAGUUGAUCGUUGAAAUGAUAAUUGAUACAACAGAAAUAGAGACUAUCAAUUCUUUUUCCAAAUUGGAAUCCUUAAAAGAAGUCUAUGGGAUCAUAUGGAUGCUUGUCCCUAUUGUGACUCUUGUAUUAGGAAUCACAAUAGGUGUACUAGUAAUUGUUUGGUUAGAAAGAGAAAUAUCUGCAGGAAUACAACAACGUAUUGGGCCUGAAUAUGCCGGCCCGUUAGGAAUUCUUCAAGCUCUAGCAGAUGGGACAAAACUACUUUUGAAAGAGAACCUUAUUCCAUCUACAGGAGAUACUCGUUUAUUCAGUAUCGGACCAUCCAUAGCAGUAAUAUCUAUCUUUCUAAGUUAUUCAGUAAUUCCUUUUGGUGAUCACCUUGUUCUAGCCGAUCUUAGUAUUGGUGUUUUUUUUUGGAUUGCCAUUUCAAGUAUUGCUCCCGUUGGACUUCUUAUGUCGGGGUAUGGAUCAAAUAAUAAAUAUUCCUUUUUAGGUGGUCUACGGGCAGCUGCUCAAUCAAUUAGUUAUGAAAUACCAUUAGCUCUAUGUGUGUUAUCAAUAUCUCUACGUGUGAUUCGGUGAGACCUAAAAUUUAUCCAAAUUCUUUUCUUUCUAGAAACAAGGAUAAAAAGAUUUGAUUGAUUAUAUAUAUUUUUUUUCUUCAGCAUUUGAGUUGAUGAACUAAAUCAGAUAGUUAUAUGAGUGAAAGAAAACGGCUUCUAAAUUUGCAGUAAAAAAGUUGAGUCUCAUUUCCUAUGUACAAGAAUCAAAUGGUGAAAAAAGUAAACAUAAGCAAGAGAGAUUGUUUACCCCAAGAUUCGUGAAUUGUCAUGAUAGCUUGAAGCGGGUUCAAAAGACCAACUCUAUGGAGUUUUUACUGUCUAUUACCAUAGAUGGAUUUCCACAACGGGAGGUUUUUGAAACAAAAAAUGAGUGGAUGGUUAGGAAGACUAAGAUACACAAAGGAUUAGUAAUUGAGAUUAUGUAAGUUAUCCAAGAGGAUAUUUCUGUACAUAAAAGGAAUUCAAAUUGGGGCUUUACGUUCGUAGAAAUGAUCAAGAAGUACUCCCCAUGAUUCUGAUCCAGAGUAUGUUCCUAUCCACUGAGUAAGUAACUAACUAUCAAGAACGAAGUAAUCUUUUACUUUGGUUAAAGACCCUUUUUCUGAGAAAGGAGAAUAGGAAUGAAAUAAAAAAAUCGAAAUAGAAAGAAAAGAAGCUAAUUGCAAAAGGAAAAAGGAGGGAUGUCUUUUUUUGUUUUUAUUCUUUCUUUCCUAUAAUUCAAUUUUUAUUUCUAUUUAGAGAGAUAAAAUUUUUGUCAUGAUUCAUGAACUAAUGUACUCUCUAAUUUUUUUCGUAAUUGAAAAUUCGAGGUUGAAAUGUAUAUGUGAUAUUGCUAUAAAGCACAUUUUUUUAUUUAAUGAUAAGGUUAUUAAUCAACAAAGAAAAAUUAAAAUUCUUAAAAGAUGAGAUAAAUUCAGAAGCACUUAUUUAUUAGUUUUAAAUAUAGCAGACAGAAUUCCAUUGGUCUAAUUUGGGACCUUAGAAUAGAUUUUGACUCUAUCUGACAAACAUAUCAAGAUAAAGAAUAGGAAAGGGCCCUUAGAUUUAGUUGUGACCUCUGAGGAGCCGUAUGAGGUGAAAAUCUCACGUACGGUUCUGUAAUAGCGAUGGGCACAGUGAUGUUAUCAUCGACUAUGAUUAUCUAACAGUUUAAGUACAGUUGAUAUAGUGGAAGCGCAGUCAAAAUAUGGUUUUUGGGGGUGGAAUUUGUGGCGUCAACCCAUCGGGUUUAUCGUUUUUCUAAUUUCUUCUCUCGCCGAGUGUGAAAGAUUACCUUUUGAUUUACCAGAAGCAGAAGAAGAAUUAGUAGCAGGGUAUCAAACCGAAUAUUCUGGUAUCAAAUUUGGUUUAUUUUACAUUGCUUCAUAUCUGAAUCUACUAGUUUCUUCAUUAUUUGUAACAGUUCUUUACUUGGGAGGUUGGAAUCUUUCUAUUCCGUACAUAUUUGUUCCUGAUAUAUUUGGCAUAAAUAAAGGAGGUAAAGUCUUUGGAACACUAAUUGGUAUCUUUAUCACAUUAGCCAAAACUUAUUUGUUUUUGUUCAUUCCCAUUGCAACAAGAUGGACUUUACCGAGGCUGAGAAUGGACCAACUAUUAAAUCUUGGGUGGAAAUUUCUUUUACCGAUUUCUCUAGGUAAUCUAUUAUUGACAACCUCGUCCCAACUUCUUUCACUGUAAAAGACCACAAUAUCCUAGAUUCACGACUUGUCUCAAACAAGAGAAAGAAACAAGCAUAAAAUCUUUUUUAUAGAUAUUCAACAUAUGCUCCCUAUGAUAACUGAAUUCAUAAAUUAUGGUCAACAAACAAUACGAGCCGCCAGAUAUAUCGGCCAAGGUUUCAUGAUUACCCUGUCCCACGCAAAUCGUUUACCUGUAACUAUUCAAUACCCCUACGAAAAAUUGAUCACAUCGGAACGUUUCCGAGGCCGAAUACACUUUGAAUUUGAUAAAUGCAUUGCUUGUGAAGUAUGUGUGCGUGUAUGUCCUAUAGAUUUACCCGUUGUUGAUUGGAAGUUGGAAACUGAUAUUCGAAAGAAACGAUUGCUUAAUUACAGUAUUGAUUUUGGAAUCUGUAUAUUUUGUGGUAAUUGCGUUGAGUAUUGCCCAACAAAUUGUUUAUCAAUGACCGAAGAAUAUGAACUUUCUACUUAUGAUCGUCACGAAUUGAAUUAUAAUCAAAUCGCUUUGGGUCGCUUACCAAUGUCAGUAAUUGAUGAUUACACAAUUCGAACAAUUUCGAAUUUACCUCAAAUAAACAAUGAAUAAACCCUUAAUUUGAUUCAAAAAAAUUACAAAUUACGAAGGCUUAGUUCGGAUCUAAAACAAUGAGAUUUUUGCUUGGGCAAUUCAAACUAGUGGUUUCUUAAUGAGACUCCUAGCUUAAGCUUAAUUUAGAUUGAAAACAAAACCGAGUUCAAUAUUAUAUAUUAUAAUAGUAAUGGUUUCAAAGUAGAUAAAUGAUAUCAAAAAUAGAUAGGUUUAAACUCCUCUUUCGACGAAUAAAGAAUGGAUAGUGGUCCAAUAAAAUAAAAGCAUCUACGUCAAUUCAUACCCAUUAGACUUUCAUUCAAUUAACAAUUUCAAAGUAUCAUAAAAAAUAGAAAAACUGCUUUUUUCCUGGUCAGGUCAAUAAAGUCAUGAAAUUCUUCGUUUUUGAUUUUUUAUAAAAAAUGGAUUUAUCUGAACCAAUACAUGAUUUUCUUUUAGUCUUUCUAGGAUCGGGUCUUAUAUUAGGGGGUCUAGGAGUGGUAUUACUUCCCAAUCCAAUUUAUUCGGCCUUUUCCUUGGGAUUGGUUCUUGUUUGUACAUCGUUAUUCUAUAUUCUAUCUAACGCCUAUUUUGUAGCUGCUGCGCAGCUACUUAUUUACGUAGGAGCUAUAAAUGUUUUAAUCAUUUUUGCUGUGAUGUUCAUGAAUGGCUCAGAAUAUUACAAGGAUUUUCAUCUUUGGACCGUAGGAGAUGGAAUUACUUCGAUGGUUUGUAUAAGUCUUUUUAUUUCACUAAUUACUACUAUUUCAGAUACGUCAUGGUACGGGAUUAUUUGGACUACAAGAUCAAACCAGAUUAUAGAGCAAGAUUUUCUAAGUAAUAGUCAACAAAUUGGAAUUCAUUUAUCAACAGAUUUUUUUCUCCCAUUUGAACUUAUUUCCAUAAUCCUUUUAGUUGCUUUAAUAGGUGCAAUUGCUGUAGCUCGUCAAUAAAAAAUUUCUAUUAAAACUUGGAAUUCAAAUAAAAUUUUGUUCUGUCUUAUCACAUUAAUUUUCCUUCAAUUCUAUUUGAAUUCUAGCUGGAUAAAUAGAAAGACUUUAGGUCAAUCUAGUAACAAUAUAUUUCUUUGUUCCAUACUUGUUAUAUACUAGUCAAUUAAGUUAGUUGAAUUGUUGUUCAUAUUGAAAGGAGUCGGGAUUGAUAAGGAGUUGUUUAAUGAUUCUCGAACAUGUACUUGUUUUGAGUGCCUAUUUAUUUUCCAUCGGUAUCUAUGGAUUGAUCACAAGUCGAAAUAUGGUUAGAGCCCUUAUGUGUCUUGAACUUAUAUUGAAUGCAGUUAAUAUCAAUUUUGUAACAUUUUCUGAUUUUUUUGAUAAUCGUCAAUUAAAGGGAGACAUUUUCUCAAUUUUUGUUAUAGCUAUUGCAGCCGCUGAAGCAGCCAUUGGCCUGGCUAUUGUUUCAUCAAUUUACCGUAACAGAAAAUCAACUCGUAUCAACCAAUCAAAUUUGUUGAAUAAUUAAUAUUAAUCAUCUAGAUUCUAAUAUUGAGAAAUCUAUUUUAAUUAGCAUGUUUACUACGUAAAGUAUGAUCUUGUUUGCAAAACAUAAGAAAUCAAAGUAUUUUGGCCUCUCUCAUAUCUCAUAAACCAAUCCAGAAAGGGGUUGAUUAGAAAAUUAUGAUAACUCAUUGAUUCAUCUGGUAUCUAAAUAUACGAUUCGUUUCUAAGUUUACUAGAUCGAAAAUUUAGAACAUUCAAAAACGUAUAGGCCCAAUGUCACAUUCAGUAAAGAUUUAUGAUACGUGUAUAGGAUGUACUCAAUGUGUCCGAGCCUGCCCCACUGAUGUAUUAGAAAUGAUACCUUGGGACGGUUGUAAGGCUAAACAAAUUGCUUCUGCUCCACGAACAGAGGACUGUGUUGGUUGUAAGAGAUGUGAAUCCGCCUGUCCAACAGAUUUCUUGAGUGUCCGAGUUUAUUUAUGGCAUGAAACAACUCGCAGUAUGGGUCUAGCUUAUUGAUACGUUCGAGAAAACUCUACUUGAAUCCAUUUAAUUUUUUUACCGACAAACCUGUGCUCGAAAAUAAAAAUAUUUUGAGCACGGGUUUUUUGGUCCAAGUGUAUCUUGUCUUUACUACGAAUUAUUUUCCUUGGUUAACAAUAAUUGUCGUUUUUCCGAUAUUUGCGGGUUCUUUAAUUUUCUUUCUUCCCCAUAAAGGAAAUAGGGUAAUUAGGUGGUAUACAAUAUGUAUAUGUAUUUUAGAACUCCUUCUAACAACUUAUGCAUUUUGUUAUCAUUUCCAAUCGGAUGAUCCAUUAAUCCAACUAGUAGAGGAUUAUAAAUGGAUCGAUUUUUUUGAUUUCCAUUGGAGAUUAGGAAUAGAUGGACUUUCUAUAGGACCCAUUUUAUUAACAGGAUUUAUCACUACUUUAGCGACUUUAGCGGCUUGGCCAGUUACUCGAGAUUCUAGAUUAUUCCAUUUUCUCAUGUUAGCAAUGUACAGUGGUCAAAUUGGAUUAUUUUCGUCUCGGGACCUUUUACUUUUUUUCAUCAUGUGGGAGUUAGAAUUAAUUCCUGUUUAUCUACUUCUAGCCAUGUGGGGAGGAAAGAAACGUCUGUACUCAGCUACAAAAUUUAUUUUGUACACGGCGGGGGGUUCCGUUUUUCUCUUAAUGGGAGUUUUGGGUGUUGCUUUAUAUGGUUCUAAUGAACCAACAUUAAAUUUUGAAACAUCAGUUAAUCAGUCAUAUCCUGUGGUUUUAGAAAUAAUCUUCUAUAUUGGAUUUUUUAUUGCUUUUGCUGUCAAAUCGCCCAUUAUCCCCCUACACACAUGGUUACCAGAUACCCAUGGAGAAGCACAUUACAGUACUUGUAUGCUUCUAGCCGGAAUCUUAUUAAAAAUGGGAGCGUAUGGAUUAAUUCGAAUCAAUAUGGAAUUAUUACCUCAUGCCCAUUCUAUAUUUUCUCCUUGGUUGAUGAUAAUAGGUACAAUACAAAUAAUCUAUGCAGCUUCAACAUCUCUUGGCCAACGGAAUUUAAAAAAAAGAAUAGCCUAUUCCUCUGUCUCUCAUAUGGGUUUCAUAAUUAUAGGAAUUAGUUCUCUAACCGAUACGGGACUAAAUGGAGCCCUUUUACAAAUAAUCUCUCAUGGAUUUAUUGGUGCUGCACUUUUUUUCUUGGCGGGAACGACUUAUGAUAGAAUCCGCCUUGUUUAUCUUGACGAAAUGGGCGGAAUAGCUAUUCCAAUGCCAAAAAUGUUCACGAUGUUCAGUAGCUUUUCGAUGGCUUCCCUUGCAUUACCAGGUAUGAGUGGUUUUGUUGCCGAAUUGAUAGUAUUUUUUGGAAUAAUUACCGGCCAAAAAUAUCUUUUAAUGCCAAAACUACUAAUUACUUUUGUAAUGGCAAUUGGAAUUAUAUUAACUCCUAUUUAUUCAUUAUCUAUGCCACGCCAGAUGUUCUAUGGAUACAAGUUAUUUAACGCCCCGAAGGAUUCUUUUUUUGAUUCUGGACCGCGAGAGUUAUUUCUUUCGAUCUCCAUCUUUUUACCCGUAAUAGGUAUUGGUAUAUACCCCGAUUUCGUUCUUUCAUUAGCAGUUGACAAGGUCGAAGUUAUUCUAUCUAAUUUUUUUUAUAGAUAAUUGGAUGACUGAAAUAAAAAAACCUAUGUUUGUUUUUAAAAACAUUCUUGGACAAUGAAAAAAAGUCUUCUUUUUUUCUUCUCUUUUAACUUAAGAAUUAAGUAAAAACAAUGAAAUUGAACUACAUAUGGUAGAAAACCGUGUGAAUCAUCAAUACAAUAUUUGAUUCACACGGUCCGCAUGCUGGUUCAUACAAUGCGUCGCCCGCUCUUGUAUUUGUAAUAACUUGUCUUGAAUUCAAUUAAAUGUUGAUGGAAAAGAACCAUAACUAUGUAACCCUAUUCCUAAUAGAUUGACCCCAAAAUAGCAUAUCCAAAUUAUAAGAAAACCUAUCGACGCUACAAUUGCAGAAUUUGGACCCCGCAAAUUUCUAUUUGUUCGAGUAUGUAAAUAAAUGGCAAAUACGAUCCAAGUAAUAAAUGCCCAAGUUUCUUUUGGAUCCCAAUUCCAAUAGGAACCCCACGCUUCAUUAGCCCAUACCGCUCCCGAAAGGAUUCCUAUGGUUAAAAAAGUAAAUCCUAAACUAAUAACCCGAUAACUCCAAUAAUCCAAUUGUUGAAUCAAUUGGGACCUGUAAUAAUUUUUAGCACAAAAAAACGAAGUAUUUUCGACAACAUUUUCACCCAAGAAAAAUGACUCGUUUAAAAAAACAUUGCUCUUAGAAAAAAGCUUUCUGUUUUUUCGAAAUGUAAUCACUAGAAGUGCUACUGAUAAUAACGAUCCACAUAAAAGGGCUGCAUAGCCCAAUAUCAUCAUACUUACGUGCAUUAUUAACCACUCAGAUUGAAGAGCAGGUACUAAGAUUCCAGAUUGGUGUAUUUCAGUUAAAAUACCUGAAGUAGCAAAGCCUUGGGUCAAAAUAGCACUUGGUCCAGUUAUUUUACUUAAAAUUAAAACAUUUUUUUUGAAAUAUGGAAUUAUAUGAAUAAGGGAGAAACUCCAUGAAAGGAAAAU
rnacentral:lncRNA from 1 species